UAGAGUUACCUUUUCAGAAACAAACUCUGCAGAGAUGAAUCCACGUCUCUUGCCUCAGUCGUUUCACUUCACCUCCCACAAACUUCUUUCUGCAAAACGGUUGUCGUUAUGGCAAUCAAUCAUCAAUUAUCCCCACUACUUUUGCUUCAUUGCUUUUUUACCUCGUUUUCAUCGUCACUCAUGCCGAUAUAUGGAGCCGUUCUGUGAGGCUUCACCGAGAAUCCAGUUCUUGAUUCUUGAUUAGAAAACCUAAAUCGUUUUAAGUUAGCCCCGAGGAUGGCAAAUCAACAGUUCCAUUGAUUUGAGCUCAAAGCUGGCCUCUGCAGGCAGAGUGUUGUCAGAAGGCUUUUACGGUUCUGGAAAGCUCGAAAUUUGAAGAAAGGUAUGGGGUUAUCAGGCUUCAUCUGGUACUGCUAGAAAGGAAGUCCACUUUGAUUCAUCUCUGAAUCAGUGUCCAUCGGCUCAAUACUUUCAGAAACAUUUUGAAGCAAGGCAGGCUGUAUGAUCUAAGUGGAUUUGAUGUAACAAAGACCAACCAAAGCUUCCGCCUUUCAGACUCCCAUGUAUCAAUUCGUUUUACAGACCAGACAAAAUUUCAUGAGUUGCAUGAGAACAUGGCCUUGAUCCCGAUGGAACUCUUCAGGUUCCUGAGAUUACGAUCAUUCAAUGUUGUUGGCUAACACAAACACUGACUUGCAAGAUAUUGUUGGUGACGUGUUUUGGAAUCAAACUACCUACAAUGAAGAAACCCAAAAAAAAGGGAGAGUAUUAAGGCAACAAUACGUAUUCUAAGGCCUGCCCACCUACUAUCUUCUAUGUUUUUAGGCUACUAACAAGAAAGGAUGGUUUACUUUUUAGAACUGAGUUAUUAAUCUACUCUUUCAUAGCGCAGGGAGGCAAACAUUUAUUUUUGAAAAUCUUGCUAUGCAACUCCUUGAUAAGUUGGUUAUCCAUGGCGUAGAACCACGGGUUAUUUCAGCUACCAAUAUCAAUCCAAAAUUGGUUGGAGGUAUGCAUGUCCCGGAUUAGUAAUUUGAUUUACAUACUAAAUUUUUGACCUUAUUGCAGGACGUCUUUUCCUAAACCCAGCCUCAUUAACCCUUUUCUACUUUGCAUGUGAGUGUGAGGCCAACACAAGUUGCACCAAGGGGUAAACCUUUGUAAUGAAUCCCAUCCUGCUUACUAGUUUCCUCUGUCACACUGUUGUUGCUGUCAAAACCACUUGAAAUCACUGCAGAAGUGCAGGUUGAAGACAUCCCAUGAAAAAGGGGUAAAGAUAAUGGUCCGUGUCCGGCUGUAAGGGACGGCGUUCCUUUCAAGGAGUCCCCUGUUGAAGAUUGUGGACCUCUGCAGAGAAGCCACGAAAUGGUUGAACUCCAGAAGAUCGAAGUGAAAGUUGGAGUUCUGGUUUCACAACCGCUUCUUUUACCUUUAAUUCACAGCGUUUAACAAGAGUUGUCAGUGAACUAUAUUGCAAUGUUUUCUGUUCACCUUUUGUUUUUUUAAAUCAGCCUUACUAAUUUCUCAACUGCAAGGCAGUAUUUUA